GACCGGUGCCAGAAACACUGCCUCAGCAUUUAUACGUAUGUGCAUACGUAUUCAUACGUAUUCAGAAAUUCUGGAUUUGUUUCACGGCUCCUGUUGGAAAAAAAGGACCUAUUCCUUAAGUCCGUCAUCCACUCACUGAAGAGGGCAAAUCCCAGUUGCCCACAUGCAAGGAGGCUGUCAAACAGAGAAAUCACUGCAGACUGUUGGUACACAGACAUCUGCUGCCCAGCUCAGGAGUGAAGGUGAUGGUGAGGACAGCCACAGCUUCCAUCUGGUAGAGGACUGCUUCCGCUCAGUCUUCCAAAUAGUGAUGAGAACAAGGAUCACCACAUCUCCCUGUUUACCCUACUUUCAUGCAUUUCGUCUGCAAGGCCCUGCAAAAGCUUCUCCUUCGUCCUCAAACCCCCAGACUUCUUAAUUAACUCAGUAACCUAUACAUUGCACAUUGGAGUGUGAAGGUAACAGUUUGUUCUAGCUUUGGAGUAGUGGUGUAUUUUUUUGGUUUACAAUAAAGUUGGCUUUAACUAUUA